UCUUUUUAGAAAUAAAUGCUUAAAAUUAGAAACAUUAUCUGCCAAUGGAAAAAGGUUGAAAAUAGUUUCAAAAAAUAAAUAUAAAUACACUCAUCAUCCACUUUAUUAGGAACAACUGUACACAUGCUCGUUUAUGUAGUUAUCCAAUCAGCCAAUCGUGGUGGCAGCACAACGCAUGUUCCCAUCAAACAGCAGAAUGGGGAAAGAGAAUGGCAACAGCUAUCAUGGGCACAGAUUCACCAAAACUGGACAGCUGAAGUCAGGAAAAAGACCAGGUGUGUUGCUGACCUGUGAACAGCUCAUGAACAGGUGAACCAGACCUGCACAGGGGUGUCUUUGGGGAAGAGUGAUCUUCAGAGUCUCCUCCAUGGCAGCGUAACAAUUACAGAGAGUCACCUGAGAUGCAGUUUAUGUGUCCGUGCUUCAUUAAGAAGAUUCAUUUUCCUUUCGGCUCAUGUAAUACACUUGAGUACAUAAAGUGCAUCUUCAACAAGCAAACAGUGCAGCAGAUUCUCCGUCAUAUUCCUCAUACACACAGCUGAGAGGCAAACAAUGCUAUUUUUAACAGCCUACUAUUUGGAAGUAUAGCUCUGGAGAUAAAUCGUGAUAUGAAUGUAGUGGAGAACUAAUUCACUGAAGCACAACAUUCCACAACAUAACUAUAAAUGGUUGAAGUUCUUUAAUAAAUUAAAUAUCUUAACUGUUGGCAAAUUGCUGUGGUGUAAGAAGAAUAAACCACUUCAGCAUAGGCUGAUAUCGGCAAAUAAUCAACUUAGGGGUGGAACAUGACAGCACUCAGUUGUUGAUUAUUUUCCUAUAACAGCAUGCCCUGUAGUGUUUUACUCCUUAUGUAUUAUACAAAACAUCUUAGAUUGGUAAUUAAAUUAAAUAGUAAUGUACACUUAGUCUCCACCUACCUAGUAUGUAAGUAAUGCAAAACAUCUCAGUAAUGGUGACGUGCAUAAAGACAUGCUGUGUCCUGUUCAUGUACAUUGCCUAUGUUGUGUCAGGUAUCACACGCAUUAAACAUGACAGCGGAAAGGGAAAAUAUAUCAAAUCAAAUGCAUUACCUAUCAAAUACAUUGGAUAUAAUGUGUAUGUAAUAUAUAUGUAUAUGUAUACAUUGGAUAUAAUGUGUAUGUAAUAUAUAUGUAUAUGUAUACAUUGGAUAUAAUGUAUAUUAUAAACGUAAUGCAUGUUUAUAAUAUUUAUUUGCAUAUCUGGAAAGAAAUCAUUUAUAGGUUAGGAAUCGAUUCGUGUUCGAUUCGUCCACCACAGUACUCAGAGGAAGAAUUCUGGCUCUUUUCAGUGAGUCAGAUCAUUUGACUCGGCUCACUGAUAAGAGUCGACUCUUUCGGCUCCCACACGGCUCUUUUUUUUUUUUUAAACCGGGCAAAGGUUGCGAUUUUAUGACCUGCGAUAGCGUUUAACUACGGAUGAAAUUGUUUCAUGAAAUCUUACUCUACCAUAUAAUUAACCAAACACCAUUAUUUGCGUUUUAUUAAAAAAAAAAAACUAUUUAAAUAAUGAUUAAAUCAGGAGGGUAUUAUAUGUGUGCAGUGACGUGUGCAGUAAACAUCCAUGCAUUAA